GCUGGGCAUGGUGGCACAUGCCUGUAAUCCCAGAAGCUUGGGAGGCUGAGGCAGGAGGAUUGUGAGUUCAAAGCCAGCCUCAG
rnacentral:sRNA from 1 species